GCUGGUGUGGCUCAGUCGGUAGAGCAGCUGAUUCGUAAUCAGCAGGUCGCAGGUUCGAAUCCCGUCACCAGCU
rnacentral:tRNA from 1 species